rnacentral:lncRNA from 1 species
CUAACUUGAUUGCAAUUAACACUUAACCACAACUAAUUUUUUUUAUCUUUCGUUUUUAGGUCUAGAGCUUUCUUAAGGAUCUCACCUUUAGAACUUCUCUCUUUCUUCCUCUUCUCUUUUCUUUCUCCUUAAAAAAAAUAAAAAAACUCAAUCAUAGAUUAGGAUUUGCACUGGUACAUGCAUGGUAUAAUUUUUUUUAUUUUAACCUAGUUGAACCUAAUU